GGUGCACCAAAUGCAAUCCCUGGAUGUCAGCAGAGAUAUGUUAUUUUUGACCAGUCUGGGAAUGAAACAAGGUUAAUAUAUAGUUCUUUUCUAACUGCUGAUGUGAAACCGACUGUAGCUGCCACAAAACCAAUUGGUGGUUCUUAUUUGCACUAUGAAGAACAUGCAGCUAAAAUGGACCGAAUCAAUCAUACAGUGCUGAAGUUGCAGGAAGUAUCAGAUGAGAAUCGCUUAAGUGGUGAAGAAAGUGAGAUGCAUG
rnacentral:misc_RNA from 1 species